GUCCACGCUGUAAACGAUGGGUACUAGAUUUGGUGGGUCUUGACCCCUGCCGAAUCGGCGCUAACGCAAUAAGUACCCCGCCUGGGAAGUACGGUCGCAAGACUAAAACUCAAAGGAAUUGACGGGGCCCGCACAAGCGGUGGAUCAUGUGGUUUAAUUCGAAGCAACGCGAAGAACCUUACCUGGAUUUGACAUCUCCUGACAACCCUAGAGAUAGGGCUUCUGUAGCAAUACAGCAGGAAGACAGGUGCUGCAUGGCUGUCGU
rnacentral:rRNA from 1 species